rnacentral:rRNA from 1 species
UCCCCAGACUCCUACGGGAGGCAGCAGUGGGGAAUAUUGCACAAUGGGGGAAACCCUGAUGCAGCAACGCCGCGUGAGUGAAGAAGUCAUUCGUGAUGUAAAGCUCUAUCAGCAGGGAAGAAAAUGACGGUACCUGAGGAAUAAGCCACGGCUAACUACGUGCCAGCAGCCGCGGUAAUACGUAGGUGGCAAGCGUUAUCCGGAUUUACUGGGUGUAAAGGGCGUGUAGGCGGGAAAGCAAGUCAGAUGUGAAAACCAUGGGCUCAACCUGUGGCCUGCAUUUGAAACUGUUUUUCUUGAGUACUGGAGAGGCAGACGGAAUUCCUAGUGUAGCGGUGAAAUGCGUAGAUAUUAGGAGGAACACCAGUGGCGAAGGCGGUCUGCUGGACAGCAACUGACGCUGAGGCGCGAAAGCGUGGGGAGCAAACAGGAUUAGAUACCCUGGUA